CUUCUUUUGGAUUAAAUAAAUACAGAAUGUUACCUAAUCAAACUAUCUCUAUUAUCUCAAAGCAAAAGCUGAAGAUGGGCCUGAUUUCAAACUACAACCAUCUCCAGUUCUGGAUCUGCAUAUUAAUCAGGCUCCAGAUUUACCUCUAUUAACAGGCACAACUUAAUGUACUGUAGAUUCUGAACCCCACAUUUAAAAACACUUAUCAUCCAAAGCCUUAGUUCUCACUAUUUUACAAUGACCAUAUUUGGUUCAAAUUCAGUGUUCUGUUCCAUCUCUCUAAAUUACCUAAUAUAUACAUUUCCUUUAUAAACAUUAACUUCUACUGAACAAAAAACCACUACAGAAUAGCUGGGUUUGACUAUUAUCACACAUAAUAACUAAACCUCUUUAUCAUCCUCACUGUUGUAUGCUUGGGUUAAGCUAGCUAGGAAACUGUUCUUGUUUAAAGUCUCAUCUAGAGAUGAGCCAGCUUAUUACCAGUAAUAGCUGUGUACAGAGGACUGAGCCAUGCCAUGAGGGAUAGUCCCUGACAAUUCUGGCUUCAGUGGUAAAGUAGGUAGGUAGGUAGAUUAAACUGAGAUUGUUUUUGCUAUCUAUUGCAAGGUACCAGCAAGGCUAACAAAGAGACUUUCUCCAGCAGUGGUGGAGGACAGUUAAAAUGAAUUGCUGGAAUGUGGUUCUCUACAGACACAAAAUCAGGCUCUCGUAUUAACUGGAGCCACAUGAUAUUAUCUUGGUGGAAGUGAAUAACAACAGUGCUGUUGGAAAUCUGUAAGGCUAUAUGCCACCAUCUGAAAGUACUGAGCUGUAAUUCAUUUUACAGCAAGAAGCAAUUCCUCACCAAUCCACUGCUUUUCAGAAAAAGCCUACAGGUGAAAAACCAAGCCUAUGGCACAGCUGCACCCGGAUGCAGCACAGCUGUCAGCCAGGGAAGGUGAGAAAUUAUUUUCAGUCUGCAAAGGUAAAAGCAUGAUUUCUUCUCUUUUCUGUACCUCUGAGGAAGUGUAAGAAUGAUCUUACAACACCCUUGGUUCUUUCAGGCAAAUUUACAUGAUUUCAGUGAGAGCUGUAUGCAUGAACUGCAAGGACCACAUGGCCCAGCACAGCAAUUAUCUUUUUAACUUACAGAAGUCACUGCCAAGUAACUGGUAGUGAUUACACAUUUCUCCACUCCAUGCAUGCAGCUUCACUGGAAAGGAAAAGCACAGCAACUCUGCCUUAGUUUGCACAGAGACAGCCUGUUCCUGCAUUUUCUAAGCCCCAAAAGCUCUGGGGUACCAAUCCACUCUACUCUGACUUUCAAAUAGCAGCCAUGGGACAGGGAGCAGGUCCUAGCUCAUCAAAAUUUUAGAAAGCAAUUUUCAAGCUGCUGCCAGAACAAGCUGAAAUGUCUCCAUAAAAGUUUCAUCUGUGCAUAGUAGCUGAGAACAAAACCAAUCUGUUUCCCAGCAUUGUUUUGCUUUGCUGCUGUGCUCAUAUAAUGCAAACCCAUCAGUACCGCUCUACUGGCAGUUUCCAUGAAGCUGAUUUUCAAUAAAUCUGCGUAUACACUGUGCUAAAUUGUUCCUUCUCCUGCAUUGCAUUGCAGAGCAAUAUUACUCAACACAGUAUAAAAUUCUUAGUCACCGCUAUCACUGGGCUUUCUGUGGCACAGACAGUUUUCUGUGCUGCAUCCCUCAUUUUACAGAACAAACUGGAGCUUGUUUUUGUUUGAAGAGCAUUGGCCAACAUCCUGAACACUACUCAUUAGGGUCCAACAUGGAGCGUUUUGCCACCUCCCAUUUCUUGGGCUACACCAUUCGGUAUCAUUAAAUUUGUACUUGGCAGGAAACUGAGUCACCCAUUCUUUUCUUCUUUGAUACACCACAUUCAAUGGCCAUUCAAAGCAAGGUCAGAGCCUAGCAGUUCAGCCCUGUGAUAUGCUAGUUUCUCCAGAGGAAAGAGAGUGAUCAAGCUCAGGUUUAUUACGGUGUUAAAUUUAUACCCUCCACUUAAGCUAAUGAUAGACAUUUCUGCUGUCUGAUCUGACUGGUCCUCGCUGCCCAACCACUAAAGCAUUUUCUGUCAUUAUCAAUUAAAGUGAGGACUGGCAAUUAGGGGAAGAAGAAAAGAGAGCAGAAAAACCAGCCAAGAUUUCAGUGAUAUAUGGAAAACAAGAACAUCCCUGCACACUCAUCCAAAUGCCCAAAGACCAUCAGGCAGAACAGCCUGGGAAGCUGUUGUAACAUCUGGUAAAGACAGGAGGAAGGGUGGGUUGGUAAAACUGAAGAGAGGACCAAUGCAACUCACUGCUUAGGACCACUUCCUAGAAAUAAAGUUUCAGGAGGACUUUAUUAUCCCAGAAAAAACUUGUAUUGCAGAGAAGGUGGGGGGGAGAUUGCACAUUUGCUGUCAGUGAAUUGUAGCACCAGUUGCCAGCACACAACCAGAACAAGCAGGGCAUUUUAGGCACCAGGUUCUCCCAUGAGACUGGAAGGAGCGUGCCCCUUGUCAUAGGAGUCUUGGGGUACCUCACCUCCUCUUCUUCCCAUAAAGUCAGGCCUCAGUGUGUGAGACCUCUGCACCUGAUGACUUAACAUUUUGAUAGACUUCAGACACUGCAAUAAAGAUACACUCCAGAUUGUUCUUCUUACUGGCUUAAUCUGUGACUUAAUUAAGCAUGGCAGAGUUAUUAUAGCAAACUACCUGAAACCGUUCAUGCUCUCAUCGUGAUGUAUUGGGCUUGGCACAGCUACACCACCCACGCUGAAAACAUGCUAUUGAUGACAAAACCUGAAAGUCACCACAGGCCUUUCAUAAUCUAAAUUACAGAGACGGUGUCUGAGUAGUAAUCACAUGGCAAAGAUUCUCUCUCUGCAUGUUCAAAAACAGUUGGCCUGUGCAAUCAGGCAGAAAGGUCAGGAGAUGGACAAGGUUAUAUCUCCCACAAAUCUGCCAGGUUUUAGUCCUCUCAUUAACGUGGGCUGAGCAGGUUGCACUCCCGUAACAUGUGAAAUGGCUCUGCUCAUGUGACCAGAGGCCUGUGAAGAUUUCCCCUUCAAACUACACCCUCGUCUUCCUUCAUAUAGCUCCAUAGGCAUUGUGUUAUCACAUUGAUACCUACAAAUAUAGGUGGCAGUGAUCUCAGAUGAUCAUUGUGAGCCAGCAUGUGUAGAUUUACCUGUUAAGCUGAAGUGAGAUGUCCUCAACUGCUCUGAUUCUUAGGCUGUCUUGUGAGCCUGACUCCAUCACACACAGAAUUUCCCACCCCUCCACCCACUCUCUUCUUGCCUGGUUGGUUGAAAAUUAGAAGCUGUUUCUCCUCUUAACUUCCUGGUAAUUUGAAAAGAAACAAAAGCUCCUGGGGCACCAGGGAGCACUAGUGGGCAUGAGUGUGCCCACUGUCCACAAGGUCCCCCUUGCUCUUUCCGGGGUGCAGUCCAGAUGACUCUUGUGGUCAAUGGUGUAGUCACUCUGCCUGAAAUCAGACCUGGGAUGCAGUUUCCCUGUUAAUGAUUUAGUUGAGGGCAAUUCUGGGAAGAACAAACACAGCAAGAGUUACUUACAGAACUCCAAAGUUCUGCAAUCGACUAAAGAACUGGAGACAUGUUUAGUUAGUCGCUAAUAACCGAGUGAAAUGCAAGCAGGAAAUGUCAUUUUCUUCAGAUAAGGUGCUGAGGAUCAAAAGAAUUUGGACUUGUUUCCACUGACCAUACAGCAAUAAAUGUGGUAACUUCUGAAAAGGCAGAAUUGUUUAAUAUUUGUUGUAUCCCACAGGUGAGGGUUAAUGGGUCAGGUUUUCUUAGCCAAUUUAAAUGAUUCAGAAGGAUGAAAUAUUCUGUCUUCAUUUGAAAGGAAAGUCUUACAUAUUCAUGUCUAUAAAUGCUGAGAAUGCUCAGUCCAAGGGCUAAACUCCAUACCCGAUCUUUAUGGAGCCAAAAUUCAGAGUAAAGAUGCACAUUUAUUUACUGAAAAUUUGGUAUCUGAUUCUUAAAACUGGGUUGGGGGUCCUCUCUAAUAAAGCUAGUUUCUCUGGUUAAUUGACUUUUAAUUAUAAGUUAGCUUGCAGUUACAGAAUAUCCUGACUUAACAAGCUGAACAAUUUGGUAUUCUUCUCUGCUAGUGAAACUCUCUUCCUUGUCUACCUCUUUUAAUGGGAAAGAAAGGAAAAAACAAAACAAAACAAAAAAAAAAACAGUGAUGGCAUUUGUUGGGGAACUGGAGUAAGGAAAAUGUGAAACAGCAGUAAAGGAAUUUUAAUAUUUGUCACAUUGACUUAUUUCAGUAUUAUCUGUAAACUGAGUUUCUUUAUUUAGACAAAUAAAUUAGUGCUGGCUGAAAACAUCAGAACUUUGUGGAUUUAUAUGGCAAAUACUAGAUUUUUCAUCAAAACAUACAUUUUCCUUCAAUGCCUUUCAUUUGUUAGCAGUUUUGAAGUAUUUCUUAAAAUAAAAAUAAUAAAAAAAAAAAAGAAAAUCAGAAUGAUUGUUCUUCUAUUUUGCUAGAAAAAAAAAAAGUGAAUCUUUAAAUGAAAUGUAGUUAACCUUUAUUUAAUUCUCGUGUGUUUUCCUCUUAUUCACUUAAUAUUAGUUGGAUAUUUAUGAAGAAAAUUACCUUCUUCAAUACUCUAUUUAUAGCAUAUUUACAUCUUUGUUAGAAAUUCCUAAUUCAAAACUAGUUUAAGUAAAAAGUCAUCUAAUUGCUUUUUAAACCCACUAAAGCUGUAGAUUACCUUAAGUUCAUUUUAAAGCAAUCCAGGCUUUUUGCUAUAAAACAAAAACAAGACUUCUACAAACUGAAAAGUAUCUUUGUGUUUAUUUGUGUUGGAAAAAUACUAAAGACAACAUUGCUGGUAAAUCUACCUUGUUUUUAUCCCAGGAGAUGGUAUUUCUAAUGACUUGAAAAAAGGAUCUAGCAAACUUCUUUUUUUUUCACCCAGUCUACCCAUUUUCUUCCUCCACGCAGCACCCAUCUUUAAACGGGUCAGGUAUAUGCAUGCAGGAAUACUGCAAAAGACAUGGAGUGUACCUGUAAUGACAUGGGGCUAAGGGCAGGCAGCUGACCCAUAGCAGCAUCCCUGGCCAAAGCCUCCUCUUUGCAGAAGCUGGAAAUGACUCCUGCAUAGCCUCUGUUUGGGAUCGGAGACACUUCAGUCUGUACCAGCAGUAGCAGAGUGAUGACGUCUGCAUGGCUGUGGCCGGUUUCACUUUGAGUUUUCAGGUUCACACAAUACUGAAACUCAAAGUACAAAUAGUAGAGGGGAUGCCCCACAGUACUGCAAAGUGAGCACACCAGCUCCAUUUUCCAAAACCUAUGCAAAUUGAAGUUGAGUUUUGCACAGCCUUACCAGGUAAAUCAUGCUACAAAGCCAGCUAGCACAUUUUACUGUUAUGAGCUCAAGCUUCCCUCAGGGUUGCAGCAAGUGACUGGUCAUCGAACCUCAAAAACUCCACCUUGCACUCCACUGAAGCAGGACGCAGAACUAAUAGAGUGCUCAUUAAACUCUCCAGAGAGCCCUCAUCAGAGACUUAUGCUGCCCACUUGCCAUACAGAACUCACUGAAGCAGAGUAGGAUUUAGGUGACAGCUUUUGUACUGGUUCAAGCCAUGGAAUGAAUUUCACUGCAAAGCAACACAAAAAGACCACACAACUGGCUUCAUCUAAAGCUGCAUGUGAAUUGUGACCCUCUGUAGCUACUGCCAGCCUGAUUUAGAUAUCAGAGUGUUUUGUGAGGCUUAUGCAUCAUGGUCUUAUUUGAAUAUGCAGCAGUCACAAUUUUUGAAGGAAAAGAUUUCCUGAAAACACGUAGCAGAAAUGUCACUUCUGAGGAAAGUUGAAAAAUUGAAAGAUGUGGAAAGAAGUGUUUUCAAAGGACAAAUGUAAAAUUAAAUGCUAGUGCAUGCUGAGAAUGUGAAACAUAGAGGAUGCCUAAGUUGUGAUAAUGCCAUUUAAUAAGUGUUCUGAUUCAGUUGCAAAUAUUGACAUUUUCUCACAUUGGAAAAAAGUGUUCCUCGGAAAUUUUGACAAAUAGGAACCUAUUGGAAUUUAUAUUAACUUGGAUCCUCAAUUGAAAUGGAAACUUAUGGAAAUACCAUUUCACAGAGAAUCACCUAUAUAGACAUUAAUGAGCACAAGAUAGAACAGGAUUUAAUGAAUCACCAACUUGUGAUUCUAUUCCACUAAAAAUGUCUGUAUUCCUUCCUCUUCUCAUUUCAGGAAAAGUGCAAGCAAUCAUGUGAGUUUUCAAUUGCAUGGAGAAUAUGGUUUUGGCUGUCAUAGGCUUGCAGGUCCACUGUCUAUUACUGGCUACCACUGCAAAGUUAUAUUAUGGAAGCUACAUUAAAUAAUGCCAAAGCACUAAUCUGAAGUCAAUUAACAAUUGUUACUAAGGGGUAUUUUACUCUAAUCCUUAAAUAAUUCACCUUCCUUUGAUGUUAAUAAAGUGGCUUAGAGAAGUAAGACUUGAUGGAAAAAAGCCACAGAUGCCAGAAAUAACAGUUCUUAAUAACUUAAAGCAGUUAACAGCUGCAAAGCUAAGUGUAACAUUAAAAUGUAUUAGUUAAAGAGAUGUAUAUUUAUUUAAGUGUGCUUACAUUUUAUUACUAAAAUGUAUGAUGUGAUACACUGCAAGAUUUAAGUGGUAGAACUUUUUAUUACCAUUUAAAGUGUUCAGACAGAAAGCAGUGGAGAACGAGGGAUAAUUCAGUGCAUUUUUGUGGGCAGCACCCACAUGUUCACAUUUCCCAAUGUUUUAUUCUUUAUGGGAAAAAAAGCGUGCACAGGGCAACAACAUGUUUUUUUUCCCAUGUAAAAAUCAUGUGCCAAUGAUUCACUAAUUCCUAUUUUUCCUUGUGCUCAUAAAUGGGCAGAGGGAUGACUGUCAAUGAAACUAUUAAAGGAUGGAGAAUACCUCAGAGAGUCGACAUUCCAAGUGAUAUAUUUAAGAUAAGACAGAUUCGAACAGGUCACUGGUUUGCAGUUGCACAACUGUCUGGAUUUUUUGGAUAUAGUUCAUUUCAGGGUAGUCUCCUGAAAUUCUGACUUACACACUGUUAGAAGCAAAACAGUUUGAUGAGCUGACGUUACAGUCACUCCCAAAUGUUAAAAAAAAAAACAUGAGUCAGGGAAAUCUAGGGAAUGACUUUAAGAAAGACUUACAUUCUUUGAUUUGUUUUCUGAUUUCUGAGCCAUUAGAGUGCACUCCCUCCACACUUUCUGGCUUUGCUCUGUGCCAAUGCAGACAAGAAAUUAAAAUUAAUGAUCAAAAAUACAAACCAAAAGUCCCAUGGAACUAGUCACCCUUGGGAUCUGGAUUCACAACAAACUGGCAGUGUAUCCUGAAAAAUCCAUUCCCUCCAUCUGUAUUUUUAUGUAUUUUCUUCAUUUUCCUUCAAACUUAUGAGUGAUCAGGUUUUAUUUGUACAUGUCUUCACAGAAAAUCAAUGGUAAACUUAUACCCUGGACUAUCAUCAGUGGGAAUUAGAGAAAGUCAUAAUCUCGGAGAGAAGAAAAGCUGCUAGGCAUUUUAAGAGAUCAUCAAGGCCAUUCCCUCCAGUAAAACACCAACAACAUCAGAGCUGUGACUUCUGUAUUCAGACAAUAUUUAUUAUCAAAAACAUUUGUUUUUUCUAAUUUCAGUACCAUUGUGGUAAAAAUGUAAAGAUGGAAAAAAGUGAAUAAACUUAAU